CCCAAGUUUCCUUCAGGACGGCUGCUGCCCUCCCAGGACAUAGUUUUAUUCAGUGAAGACCAUGCCUGGAGGUCUUCGGGAAGAGAUGAUCUCAGCCCUUUUCUCCACUUCAAAUGGGAGAAGAGCCCAACUUGCUGUGUGGAGCACUGUGCUGAGGAUGCCUAGUGGGCCACCUUGGGACAGCAGAAGUGGCACUGCAGGGUGAACAGAGUGCCAUUGGAGGUGCUGAUAUGGGUGCUCGUCAGACCCCAGAACAGGGGAUGGCUGUUAUGGCCCCGCAGCAGUCCUCCGAGUUGGAAUCUGCCAGGGAGUGUGUGACAACUCACCUGUACACACAGCAAUCCCUGAAAAUGGAUGGCACUGCAGUGUAGAGCUGGCACCUGGCCCUCUUGGCUGUGGAUCCACGAGAGACUGUCAGGAGAAGG
rnacentral:ncRNA from 1 species